UAUUUAUUAUUUUUUAUCUAUUUUUUUUUAUUAUUUAUUACUUUAUUAUUAUUUUUUACCUCUUUAGAGGAAUUUUUGAGUACCAAGUCUUUCUCCGCCGCUAACUCAAAAUCAUCGUCACCUGCAAGAUAAGGCCGAAAACUUGAUUUUAUUAAGUGGAGAAAAGACCUUUCUAUUAUAUUAGUAAAGCAACAAGCAAGAGAUUCGCGCAAAGGUAUUCGAUUUUAUUCGAGUCUAAGGUCGAACGUGUAAAUGGAAUACGACAUCAGUUUUCAAAAAUUAUCUUGGAGGGAGGUAGGAGGUUCUAUAUCAAAAGGGAAGCCAAUCCUUUAGCAAGUUAUCAGUUGAGGGCCUCCAGCUCCAGUUGCAGUUCCAGCUUCCACCUGUUUCUUCACCAUGGCGGCAUGCUUCUGACCGGCAAGAUGAGAAUUGAACACUGUCUGGCUGUUGCACACCACAUUGCAUAUGCUGCACGUUCUAACAGCUCCAGCUGCUGCUCCACCUUGCAAAAUCUUUAGUUUCUUCAUCUCCAGCUCUUCUGGUGCCAGCGACCGUGCUACCUUCUUCCUCGAAUUUGGUACGACGCUAUUGCCUUUACUGGCCUCUGGGUUUUCCAUUGGUCCAAUCACUGGAUUUGUUGAGGCUGGUGUAGCAUUUGAGGUAAGGGCAGUAGUAUCAUUAUUUGAUUUUGACAGUUUCUCCAAGUUCUUCUGGUGUUUCUUUCCUAAUAGGUGUUUGGUGUAGAUAUCAGUGCUGUUACAAUUGAUUUUGCACACUUCACACCAAGCAGAUUGAACGACCUUGUUUUUCUUUAGAGUAUUUUUCCAAAUGCUA